rnacentral:rRNA from 1 species
GCCAACGGCCAUACCACGUUGAACACACCGGUUCUCGUCCGAUCACCGAAGUUAAGCAACGUCGGGCGUGGUUAGUACUUGGAUGGGUGACCGCCUGGGAAAACCGCGUGCUGUUGGCACUU